AGCCACUGGGGGAAGGUGGACUGUACGAAGAAGGCUGGGCAGAGGUUGAGAGGAUGUAGUAUGACAGCGGCACAUGUGAUAGCCUCUGGGCAGCAUGGCCAUGUGUUUGGGGGACUUCAGGAUGUGGGGGGGAUCUGGAAAUACUGCAAGGGGGUCUGUGCAGGGAGGAGGCUGCAGAGUGCAAGUUUUGGAGGUCUGUCCAGAAGAGGUGCAAGAGAAGUAAAAGUGGUUCAGGAACUGAUAACCAGACAGAAAGGACUUCAGAAGGAUGAGGAAAAUAUUGGAUGUCUCUAUCAAACAAGUGACGGAUGAAGAGAGCAGUGCCUUUUCAUUCUUGCCUUACUCUGGAUUUCCUCCCUUCCAGCUGGACAGAGGAGUCUGCACACACUGUGCAAGCAGAAGUGCCUGUCUCCUGGUUGUGAUGACAAACAACCACAGGUGCAAACACUUUAGUACCUCCACACUCAUCUCUCUCCUAUUAACAAGCUCUGAUCUCCGCAAGAUCUUCUCUCAUCCUCCUGAUACUCUGGAUCAUCAGGUUCUCUCUAUGAGCUCAGAUGUUUUACAUUGGCUUCUCAUCAACUUUAUUCUCCACAUCUGGAAGCCCCUCUGCUCUGUCUGCAUCCCCAGGUGUCAACGGUUUACGGGCGUUCGGCCCGGUUCUGUGACGAAGGGGACGGGGGAUCCACGGGUCCACGCCUCGGGAAAAAGGGAAAAGGGAAAAAGGGUAAGGAGAUGGCCCUGA
rnacentral:lncRNA from 1 species